rnacentral:rRNA from 1 species
GCGGUGGGAGCAAACAGGAUUAGAUACCCUGGUAGUCCGCUGUAAACGAUGUCGAUUGGAGUUUGUUGCCUAGAGUGAUGGGCUCCGAAGCUAACGCGAUAAAUCGACCGCCUGGGGAGUACGGCCGCAAGGUUAAAACUCAAAUGAAUUGACGGGGGCCCGCACAAGCGGUGGAGCAUGUGGUUUAAUUCGAUGCAACGCGAAGAACCUUACCUGGUCUUGACAUCCAUAGAAUUCUGCAGAGAUGUGGGAGUGCCUUCGGGAACUAUGAGACAGGUGCUGCAUGGCUGUCGUCAGCUCGUGUUGUGAAAUGUUGGGUUAAGUCCCGCAACGAGCGCAACCCUUAUUCUUUGUUGCCAGCGAUUUGGUCGGGAACUCAAAGGAGACUGCCGUUGAUAAAGCGGAGGAAGGUGGGGACGACGUCAAGUCAUCAUGGCCCUUACGACCAGGGCUACACACGUGCUACAAUGGCGUAUACAAAGGGAAGCGAAGGUGCGAGCUGGAGCGGAUCUCAUAAAGUACGUCUAAGUUCGGAUUGGAGUCUGCAACUCGACUCCAUGAAGUCGGAAUCGCUAGUAAUCGUAGAUCAGAAUGCUACGGUGAAUACGUUCCCGGGCCUUGUACACACCGCCCGUCACACCAUGGGAGUGGGUUGCACCAGAAGUAGAUAGCUUAACCGCGAGGGGGGCGUUUACCACGGUGUGAUUCAUGACUGGGGUGAAGUCGUAACAAGGUAACCA